GUCUUGUAAUGAUAGGGAGAAGAGAUCGCUCAGUGAGUGCACAGGACGGAUAUUAGCAGAUCAAAUAAAGCGAUAGAUGGCACAUAAAAAACAAUGAAAAUUUAGGAGGAAUAAAACAUUAAAAAAAAGGGAUACGAUCAGGCAAGAUGUAGGACCCAUGUAAAUAUUGGAGCAACUUUUCAGCGGUGGAGAAACUCAAGGAGCGGGAAGGCCUGGAAUCGGACACCGAGGUUGCUUUGUUUCUUAUUGAUAGGUGAAUCCUGCAUCCCACUGCGUCCUGCUCACUGUUUAUUAACGAUGGAAGCUUUAACACAUCUCUAACUCCUAUGGAAAUUGGGCUGCUGUUUCAACCUCUCCAAUUACCUGGGUGAGUAUUAACACUAAAAUAUGGUUUGAAAAUAGCAGAACUAAAAUUAUUUUUGUCUUGUAAAUCUUUAUAUUGCUCAUGUGAUUGAUUGAUUUCACCCUCCAGCUCUUUUGUGAUUGGUUAAAUUAACUGACUAACAGCUAAGGAUUAUUUUACAUGUAUUAAUAUUGAUUCACUUUUAUUUAAAAUAAUUAACUGAAAGUCUUAUUUAAAAUGUGAUUUGUUGAAGUUAUACACUCCAAUUAUCCACCAUAUACUACAUUUAUUUAUUUAUUUAUUUAUUUAUUUAUUUAUUUAUUUAUUUGAAAGCUGCUAUUGCAAACCAGACAUUAAUUUUUAUCAUACUACAUUCUGUGUCUUAAAUCUAUCAUUUUGUUCAUGUUUGAUUGACGAUUUCACCUAUUAAUCAUAGUUCAUUUGUAUCUGGUUAAACUAAUGAUUUUACACCUGUGUAUGUAUUUAAAUUAAUUUUAACGAAUUAAUUUGAAUAUUUAAUUUAAAUAACCCUGAUUUUUUAAAGUUGAAAUGAUCCACUCAAUUUAUCCAUCGUGUAAUUUGCAAUCCCAUCCAAAGAAGGAAGUAAUUAUUUUUUAGAGGGCCAGUGUUUCUUCAUCUUGAAUAUGCCACUCACAUCAACACCCUUGUUAACUCAUCAGGUUUUUGCUUUAGAUGUUUCCUCUGAUUGUGAUGCUUUAUUCCUGGCAGGAUUUUAAAAAAUGUACCAAUACAAAUAACACAUGCUUUCUUGUUAAACUCACUUCUGUUCUACUAGAGCACUUUUAUCUCAAAGUGUUUUUUUCCCCUCAUUCCAAUAUGAAAUGAUUGUUCUGGUUAGAUCAGACAUAGCUCAACUCCAACAGGUAAGCCUUUCUUACUCCAUCUCUGUCUCUCUUCUUUUCUUUCUUUCUUUCUUUCUUUCUUUCUUUCUUUCUUUCUUUCUUUCUUUCUUUCUUUCUUUCUUUCGCUCUCUUUCUCUCU
ensembl:lncRNA